rnacentral:lncRNA from 1 species
CACGACCUCUACGAGCACGUCUUCUACGCCAUAGAUAAGACUGCCUGGGAGUGGACCCCGAAGACCCCCAUCCUCUCCCCCCCGAACUGGAGCGCAGCUACAAGAACUUCACCUUCAAAUUCCACAAGUAAUGGCUGUUGCCUUCCCUGCUGCAUUCAGGUGCUGAGCACGUGCCCGACCAAUGGAUUUCCUCAUGCUUUGAGCCUCAGGCUCCAUUUACCAGCACAAAAAAACCACUUGUUUGCUUUAAAACCCUCAUAAGAGAGAAACAAAUCCACCCUUGGGCUGAGGGGGGAUGUGAAACCACUUUGAUUGCACAAGAAUCAGCUGCUUUCCGGCCCUGUCUCUAUUGGUUGCAGGGCUGCUCUCAAAGCUCUAUUUCUACCCUGUAAUAUUUGUGUGUUGAGGGUUAUUCCCUUGCUCUGCUUUUUGCUGUGUUUUCUUGGCCUUUCAGCACAAUCAGCUCCUUGUUUCAGCUGAUGUUGGUGCUGAGAGAUGCAACAAGGCUCCCCACAAAGCCCGAUUGAAUGACACUGGGGCCCCUCCAAGGCUAGAAAUGCCUUUAUUAUGGCUAGAAAUGCACUUUUAUGGCUAGAAAUGCCAUUUUUAUGGCUAGAAAUGCCUUUAUUAUGGCUAGAAAUGCCUUUAUUAUGGCUAGAAAUGCCUUUUUUAUGACUAGAAAUGCACUUUUAUGGCUAGAAAUGCCUUUUUUAUGGCUAGAAAUGCCUUUUUUAUGGCUAGAAAUGCCUUUUUUAUGGCUAGAAAUGCACUAUUAUGGCUAGAAAUGCCUUUCUUAUGGCUAGAAAUGCCUUUCUUAUGGNAGAAAUGCCUUUCUUAUGGCUAGAAAUGCCUUUCUUAUGGCUAGAAAUGCCUUUUCUUAUGGCUAGAAAUGCCUUUUUUAUGCCUAGAAAUGCUUUUCUUAUGGCUAGAAAUGCACUUUAUGGCUAGAAAUGCCUUUUUUAUGCCUAGAAAUGCCUUUUUUAUGGCUAUAAAUGCCUUUUCUUAUGGCUAGAAAUGCCUUCUUUAUGGCUAGAAAUGCCAUUUUUAUGGCUAGAAAUGCCAUUUUUAUGGCUAGAAAUGCCAUUUUUAUGGCUAGAAAUGCCUUUUUUAUGGCUAUGCACAGCCCUAAAACAAGUCUACCCCCAUUGCUGUGGCUAUUUGACCCAGUGCUGCGUUAUGGCCAUUGGUUCAGGUCUGUAUUACACACUGGAUUUGCCCUAAGAUGGAUCUUAAUGACUGUCUCCAUCCCACAGGCUCAUCAACGUCACCAUCCAGUUCAAGCUGAAAGCCAUCAACAUCCAGACCAUCAUCAACAACGAGAUCCCGGACUGUUACACCUUCACCAUCACUAUCACAUUUGAUAACAAGGCCCACAGUGGCCGGGUGAAAAUCCACCUGGACAACAGGGCUGACAUCAAGGAGUGCAAAGAUCACAGCGUGUAUGGACGAGGUAUGAGCUGGAUUGAUGGGCACAGAGGUGGCAUCAAACCCCAAAGGGCACAAUAGGGUCAAUGGGGAGGUGCUGGUGCCCCUAUUUAAUGCCAUUGUGCCCCUAUUUAAUGCCAUUGUGCCCCUAUUCAAUGCCAUUGUGCCCCUAUUNNNNNNNNNNNNNNNNNNNNNNNNNAUGGAUUGGGUUGGAUGAUCUUAUAGGGCUUUUAUAGCCUUUAAUGUGGGUAUGGAUUGGGUUGGGUGAUCUUAUAGGCUCUUUAUAACCCUAUUGAUUGCAUGGAUUGGGUUGGAUGAUCUUAUAGGGUUUUUAUAGUUUUUAAUGAUGGCAUGGAUUGGGUUGGUUGAUCUUAUAGGGCUCUUAUAGCCCUAAUAAUGGCAUGGAUUGGGUUGGGUGAUCUUAUAGGGCUCUUAUAGCCCUAAUAAUGGCAUGGAUUGGGUUGGGUGAUCUUAUAGGGCUUUUCCAGCCCUAUUUGAUGGCAUGGAUUGGGUUGGAUGAUCUUAAUGGGCUUUUAUGGCCCUAAUGAUGGCAUGGAUUGGGUUGGGUGAUCUUAAAGGGCUCUUAUCUCCUUUAAUGAUGGCAUGGAUUGGGUUGGAUGAUCUUAUAGGGUGAUCUUAUAGGUCUUUUCCAGCCCUUAGGGCUUUUAUGGCCCUAAUGAUGGCAUGGAUUGGGUUGGGUGAUCCUAAAGGGCUUUUAUAGUCCUAAUGAUGGCUUGGAUUGGGAUGAAUGAUCUUAUAGGGUCUUUAUAGCCCUAAUGAUGGUAUGGAUUGGGUUGGGUGAUCUUAUAGGGUGAUCUUAUAGGUCCUAUUGAUUGUAUUGAUUGGGUUGGAUGAUCUUAAAGGGCUUUUAUAGCCCUAAUAAUGGCAUGGAUUGGGUUGGGUGAUCUUAAAGGGCUUUUAUAGCCCUAAUAAUUG